GGCCUAAAUUUGAAGUGAAGUAGAUUGGUGAGAUCAGCUGAUCAUACUAAUCUACUCUACUUCAAGUUUGCGCCU
rfam:Haemonchus contortus, ISE/inbred ISE, WGS project CAVP01000000 data, contig: Hcontortus_42491